rnacentral:rRNA from 1 species
AACGAACGCUGGCGGCAGGCCUAAUACAUACAAGUCGAACGGAUGUAGCAAUACAUUAGUGGCGCACGGGUGCCUAACGCGUGGGAACAUACCCUUGAGUAAGGAAUAAUGUCUGGAAACGGACACUAAUACCUUACAAUGACUUCGGUCCAAAGAUUCAUCGCUCAAGGAUUGGCCCGCGUCUGAUUAGCUAGUUGGUGAGGUAACGGCUCACCAAGGCGACGAUCAGUAGCUGGUCUGAGAGGAUGAUCAGCCACACUGGGACUGAGACACGGCCCAGACUCCUACGGGAGGCAGCAGUAAGGAAUAUUGGACAAUGGGGGAAACCCUGAUCCAGCCAUGCCGCGUGAGUGAAGAAGGCCUUAGGGUUGUAAAGCUCUUUCAAUAGUGAAGAUAAUGACGGUAGCUAUAGAAGAAGCCCCGGCUAAAUUCGUGCCAGCCGCCGCGGUAA